UGGAGCUUUACCUAAUAAAAGCUCAGAACAGUAAACUAGAGAAAUAGAUGAGAUGCAUUCAGGGGAAGAAAUACAAAACAACAACAAAAUCUCAGCAGGACUCAUCCAGGAUCCUGCCUGGGAGAACAGACAGUUUAGAGCAGCUUUCUGAAUAUCAACAAGAUGGAAGCUAUAUGGACCACUGGGGGAAUUCUGCACCAAAGGGCAAGUGCCAUCAUAUGGAAGGUUUGAUGGACAAAAAGAUUGAAAAACAACAACAUGGAACCUUGUUUUUAUAUGUGACAAUAGCACCAAGGCUUCUCUAUGCUCAGAAGAUGGAAGGACUCAUAUGUACCCAAUUAAAGAAUGGGUGGUGAAUUUAAUGGAGUUGGCAGAGAUGAAGAAAUUGUCUGCUGAGGAAAGACUUUAGUUUCGUUUCUCCUUGGAAACCACUCUUGAUUGUUGUUGCUUUUGAAACUGAAAGAAAUGAAAGUUAAGCUUGGGUUUUGAUGAUUAGACUUGUUUGUAAUGAUAAAAGUAUUGUUGGUUACAAUUUAUUC